rnacentral:rRNA from 1 species
CUACGGGGGGCACCAGUGGGGAAUAUUGCACAAUGGGCGCAAGCCUGAUGCAGCCAUGCCGCGUGUAUGAAGAAGGCCUUCGGGUCGUAAAGUACUUUCAGCGGGGAGGAAGGGAGUAAAGUUAAUACCUUUGCUCAUUGACGUUACCCGCAGAAGAAGCACCGGCUAACUCCGUGCCAGCAGCCGCGGUAAUACGGAAGGUGCAAGCGUUAAUCGGAAUGACUGGGCGUAAAGCGCACGCAGGCGGUUUGUUAAGUCAGAUGUGAAAUCCCCGGGCUCAACCUGGGAACUGCAUCUGAUACUGGCAAGCUUGAGUCUCGUAGAGGGGGGUAGAAUUCCAGGUGUAGCGGUGAAAUGCGUAGAGAUCUGGAGGAAUACCGGUGGCGAAGGCGGCCCCCUGGACGAAGACUGACGCUCAGGUGCGAAAGCGUGGGGAGCAAACAGGAUUAGAUACCCGCGUAGUC